GAGGGAGCUUGCUCCCGCUCGGGAGCGAAGCGCCCGCAGAUUUUUAGGGCUGCUUCGCAGCCCAGCGGGAGCAAGCUCCCUC
rnacentral:misc_RNA from 1 species